GGGCCCGCACAAGCGGUGGAGCAUGUUGGUUUAAUUCGAAGCAACGCGAAGAACCUUACCAGGUCUUGACAUCCUUUGACCACUCUAGAGAUAGAGCUUCCCCUUCGGGGGCAAAGUGACAGGUGGUGCAUGGUUGUCGUCAGCUCGUGUCGUGAGAUGUUGGGUUAAGUCCCGCAACGAGCGCAACCCUUAUUAUUAGUUGCCAGCAUUCAGUUGGGCACUCUAGUGAGACUGCCGGUGACAAACCGGAGGAAGGUGGGG
rnacentral:rRNA from 1 species